CCAAAAAUUCUCUCUCUCUACUUUCUCUCUCAUCUCACUCGCUCUCUCCAUUUCUCUUUCAUCUCACCUCUCAACUGCCGAAUAUCAACAAGGGAAAUAAAAAGUGAAUCCCGGCGUCGGAGUGAAGCCAAUUGAAGCCAUGUCACCCUCACCAUUCUCUACUCCAACGAUGCCAACGACUCUCCCUCUCCUCUUCUCUCCUAUUUUUGCAGCAAAUCCACUGAGUUGUGUGGUGGCGGUGUAACAUUGGUAGUUGUGGUGAUUCAAAGGGAUGGCUGUGGUUUGUUUGAAGUGUUGCGGUGGGUUGUUUGAGGUAUUGUCGUGGUGUCUAAUCUGGCGGUCGAGGUGGCUAUGGUGGUGUGUGAGCGUCGUCGGAGGCUUGCAGAUCGCGAUGGACAACUGCAGAUCCUGGGGUUGAUGACGCAAAUUGUGGCGGUGAUGACGCAGAUCGUAGCUAUGGCGGUGUAGAUCGUGGUAUUGAUUUUUUCUCUUGGUUGUUGGAUGCGGUGCAGGCGAUGACAGCAUGGUGUUGGUGACGACAACGUUGGUGCUAAUCGGGUAGAUCAGUAAUGUCUAUAACCAGUAAAUUGCUUGACUCCGUUGUGGUGGUUGUGGAAAUGGGUGACGUUGGCAGUGCUGGCUGUGGCGUUUGUGGUGGUGAUUUAAGGAAAUGGGCAAAUGCGAUUUGGGGUGGGUUUUGUUGGCUGCGAUGGCAGCGGUGGUGGUGGUGCUGAAAAUUGUAACUGUACCUGUGACUCUCAAUUGUGACUCGUAAUUGGAUAUGUGACUUGAAAAUUGUGACUAUGACUCCCAAUUGUGACUCACAAUUAGUGAUGGCAACGGGGCGGGGCAAUUUUCUUGCCCCGUUUCUUGCACCGUUUAACUUUUUAUUUUAAUUUCGAAUUUAAUAAAAUACGGAAAACAUUCAAGUUGAACUUUUAAUAAAGAAUGCUCUUACUUUAUGUAAAUUUAAGUUUUUGUUUUGGGAUAAAAUUACUUAUAG
rnacentral:lncRNA from 1 species